UACGGAGGGGGCUAGCGUUGUUCGGAAUUACUGGGCGUAAAGCGCGCGUAGGCGGACCUGCAAGUCGGGGGUGAAAGCCCUCAGCUCAACUGAGGAAGUGCGCCCGAAACUGCAGAGCUUGAGUACCGGAGAGGGUGGCGGAAUUCCCCAAGUAGAGGUGAAAUUCGUAGAUAUGGGGAGGAACACCGGUGGCGAAGGCGGCCACCUGGACGGUCACUGACGCUGAGACGCGAAAGCGUGGGGAGCAAACAGG
rnacentral:rRNA from 1 species